GGAUGUGAGGCUGAUCUGGAUAUGACAUCUGUCACCCCAUUGAUCACAAGGGUUGAUUUAGCCCAUCUGGCUGGCUAGGCAGGUGUCCCCUUCUUUCUUCACCACUCCAUGAACAUCCCUCCUAAACCUGCACACUCAGUCAAAGAGGAUGACCAUCCCCACUAAAAGAGGGCUGUUUUUCAGUCAAGGGUAUACAAGUAGCUGUGUUCCCUUUCUAGAACCUCCAAAUAAGCUCUGACAAUGGCAAAUUUUAAAUUUAAAUUGCCUUGGCCUUGAUGCUAGGUAAAGAAAAAAAAAUCCCAGAGAAUUCAUAACCACAACCUAU
rnacentral:snRNA from 1 species